UGGGGAAUAUUGCGCAAUGGGCGAAAGCCUGACGCAGCAACACCGCGUGAGGGAUGACGGCCUUCGGGUUGUAAACCUCUUUCAGCUCCGACGAAGCGAAAGUGACGGUAGGAGCAGAAGAAGCACCGGCUAACUACGUGCCAGCAGCCGCGGUAAUACGUAGGGUGCAAGCGUUGUCCGGAAUUAUUGGGCGUAAAGAGCUCGUAGGCGGUCCGUUGCGUCUGCCGUGAAAACCCGGAGCUCAACUCCGGGCCUGCGGUGGAUACGGGCGGACUAGAGUCCGGUAGGGGAGACUGGAAUUCCUGGUGUAGCGGUGGAAUGCGCAGAUAUCAGGAGGAACACCGGUGGCGAAGGCGGGUCUCUGGGCCGGAACUGACGCUGAGGAGCGAAAGCGUGGGGAGCGAACAGGAUUAGAUACCCUGGUAGUCCACGGCCGUAAACGGUGGGCGCUAGGUGUGGGAUCGUUUCCACGAUCUCCGUGCCGUAGCUAACGCAUUAAGCGCCCCGCCUGGGGAGUACGGCCGCAAGGCUAAAACU
rnacentral:rRNA from 1 species